ACGAACGCUGGCGGCGUGGAUAAGACAUGCAAGUCGAACGGGAGAAUUGCUAGCUUGCUAAUAAUUCUCUAGUGGCGCACGGGUGAGUAACACGUGAGUAACCUGCCUCUUAGUGGGGGAUAGCCCUGGGAAACCGGGAUUAAUACCGCAUACGAUUGAAAGAUCAAAGCAGCAAUGCGCUAGGAGAUGGGCUCGCGGCCUAUUAGUUAGUUGGUGAGGUAACGGCUCACCAAGGCGAUGACGGGUAGCCGGUCUGAGAGGAUGUCCGGCCACACUGGAACUGAGACACGGUCCAGACACCUACGGGUGGCAGCAGUCGAGAAUCAUUCACAAUGGGGGCAACCCUGAUGGUGCGACGCCGCGUGGGGGAAUGAAGGUCUUCGGAUUGUAAACCCCUGUCAUGUGGGAGCAAAUUAAAAAGAUAGUACCACAAGAGGAAGAGACGGCUAACUCUGUGCCAGCAGCCGCGGUAAUACAGAGGUCUCAAGCGUUGUUCGGAAUCACUGGGCGUAAAGCGUGCGUAGGCUGUUUCGUAAGUCGUGUGUGAAAGGCAGGGGCUCAACCCCUGGAUUGCACAUGAUACUGCGAGACUAGAGUAAUGGAGGGGGAACCGGAAUUCUCGGUGUAGCAGUGAAAUGCGUAGAUAUCGAGAGGAACACUCGUGGCGAAGGCGGGUUCCUGGACAUUAACUGACGCUGAGGCACGAAGGCCAGGGGAGCGAAAGGGAUUAGAUACCCCUGUAGUCCUGGCAGUAAACGGUGCACGCUUGGUGUGCGGGGAAUCGACCCCCUGCGUGCCGGAGCUAACGCGUUAAGCGUGCCGCCUGGGGAGUACGGUCGCAAGAUUAAAACUCAAAGAAAUUGACGGGGACCCGCACAAGCGGUGGAGUAUGUGGCUUAAUUCGAUGCAACGCGAAGAACCUUACCUGGGCUUGACAUGUAAUGAACAACAUGUGAAAGCAUGCGACUCUUCGGAGGCGUUACACAGGUGCUGCAUGGCCGUCGUCAGCUCGUGUCGUGAGAUGUUUGGUUAAGUCCAGCAACGAGCGCAACCCCUGUUGCCAGUUACCAGCACGUCAAGGUGGGGACUCUGGCGAGACUGCCCAGAUCAACUGGGAGGAAGGUGGGGACGACGUCAGGUCAGUAUGGCCCUUAUGCCCAGGGCUGCACACAUACUACAAUGCCCAGUACAGAGGGGGCCGAAGCCGCGAGGCGGAGGAAAUCCUGAAAACUGGGCCCAGUUCGGACUGUAGGCUGCAACCCGCCUACACGAAGCCGGAAUCGCUAGUAAUGGCGCAUCAGCUACGGCGCCGUGAAUACGUUCCCGGGUCUUGUACACACCGCCCGUCACAUCAUGGAAGCCGGUCGCACCCGAAGUAUCUGAAGCCAACCGCAAGGAGGCAGGGUCCUAAGGUGAGACUGGUAACUGGGAUG
rnacentral:rRNA from 1 species